GUAGUCCACGCCGUAAACGAUGAUAACUAGCUGUCCGGGCACUUGGUGUUUGGGUGGCGCAGCUAACGCAUUAAGUUAUCCGCCUGGGGAGUACGGUCGCAAGAUUAAAACUCAAAGGAAUUGACGGGGGCCUGCACAAGCGGUGGAGCAUGUGGUUUAAUUCGAAGCAACGCGCAGAACCUUAACAGCGUUUGACAUCCCGCGCUAACCCAAGAGAUUGGGUGUUCCCUUCGGGGACGCGGUGACAGGUGCUGCAUGGCUGUCGUCAGCUCGUGUCGUGAGAUGUUGGGUUAAGUCCCGCAACGAGCGCAACCCUCGUCCUUAGUUGCCAUCAUUUAGUUGGGCACUCUAAGGAAACCGCCGGUGAUAAGCCGGAGGAAGGUGGGGAUGACGUCAAGUCCGCAUGGCCCUUACACGCUGGGCUACACACGUGCUACAAUGGCGGUGACAGUGGGCAGCAAACCGGCGACGGUGAGCUAAUCUCCAAAAGCCGUCUCAGUUCGGAUUGUUCUCUGCAACUCGAGAGCAUGAAGGCGGAAUCGCUAGUAAUCGCGGAUCAGCAUGCCGCGGUGAAUACGUUCCCAGGCCUUGUACACACCGCCCGUCACACCAUGGGAGUUGGAUUCACCCGAAGGCGCUGCGCUAACCGCAAGGAGGCAGGCGACCACGGUGGGUUUAGCGACUGGGGUG
rnacentral:rRNA from 1 species